AGUGAACGCUGGCGGUAGGCCUAACACAUGCAAGUCGAACGGCAGCACAGAGGAGCUUGCUCCUUGGGUGGCGAGUGGCGGACGGGUGAGGAAUACAUCGGAAUCUACUCUGUCGUGGGGGAUAACGUAGGGAAACUUACGCUAAUACCGCAUACGACCUACGGGUGAAAGCAGGGGACCUUCGGGCCUUGCGCGAUUGAAUGAGCCGAUGUCGGAUUAGCUAGUUGGCGGGGUAAAGGCCCACCAAGGCGACGCUCCGUAGCUGGUCUGAGAGGAUGAUCAGCCACACUGGAACUGAGACACGGUCCAGACUCCUACGGGAGGCAGCAGUAGGGAAUAUUGGACAAUGGGCGCAAGCCUGAUCCAGCCAUACCGCGUGGGUGAAGAAGGCCUUCGGGUUGUAAAGCCCUUUUGUUGGGAAAGAAAUCCAGCUGGCUAAUACCCGGUUGGGAUGACGGUACCCAAAGAAUAAGCACCGGCUAACUUCGUGCCAGCAGCCGCGGUAA
rnacentral:rRNA from 1 species